rnacentral:lncRNA from 1 species
CACUUUCUUGUGGAUUGGUAGCAUUUCAUCUCAUAAGGAAUCAAUAUCUCGUGUAGUGAAACAUCUUCAUCGGCUUUUAUAACGUUUAUAGCUUUUACAUGGUCAGAUGGUGCCCUGGCUGUCACACCCACACAAAUAGUCUGUGAUUAUUAAUAUGAACCCUGAUUUGUACAUUUCUUGCCACCAGGAUUUCAUUUAUCAUGCCAUUUUUUCCCCGGAUAUGUGGCAUUCUACUUCACAAGGGAUUAAGGAUAAUUGGCAUCGAUGAACCAUCGGAGCACAUGGCAUGCAUCGAGGAUGGCGCUAUGAGUUGAAACACUCAAGCUCACAUAAAUCAACUCGGAGGCAACAAUGGGACCAUACACCUGGAGCAUGCAGGCCACAUCCGUGGUCGAGACACGUGCCCACUCUUCCAUGCACGUACAUGGCAUGCGAGUAUACGGGACGUCCAGUGGUGCCUCUCAAGAUCUUUUGGACUCUUGCCUUGCGCGCAGAUUAACUGCCUCUGUUGCUCGCCUUUUACAUCCUUCUCAAAUAACUCAAAGCUUCACCUCAAUUCUCUUUUUAUCCGCAUAUAAUUCCGGAUCGCACCACCCAUGGCUGUUUGUUGGCCACUUUCUUCGCGCCUUCGGUGCGAGUCUGUCCUGGCAACACCCCAGAUUCCCUCUUCCCUUUCUCUUUGUUGGGUAGGCAAAUUCCCUCUUCCAUUCAAUAUGUAUUAGACGUCAAGACAUAUUCUCUUUCAAUGUAAAUCACAAUCGAUGGGCAGCGUAUUUUCCCAUCAUCGACACUGUUGAAGUUGAUGCUGAUGUUGACAUGGAUAAAGCUGGGAAAAUGCUCAUUGGAGGAAACCAGAUUGGAACGCUCGGUUCAUUGGUUUAAAUUUUGAUUGCUUUACUUAUUUGUGACUCGGAGCAGACUACAGGCUCCUGGAUAUAAGCUGACAACAGACACUCUGUAGCAUGCUGCUGUAACACCACUCAAAAUCAAGAUAAGAGCUGGAAUCCAACAUAGAAAUGCAAGCCAAAUCUCUGAAAGUCGUGCCCAAUGCAGUGAUAAACCUACAUGCAAGAAAGAAAGAAAGAAAUUUAAAACUCGUAAAUGAUUUGAUAGAGAAAUCUAUGUUCUCCACCUUAGAGAGAUUCCUAUAUGAUGGCUUAAAUUAUAUUCAAAGUUCUAGAAUCUCAAAAGAAAGUCGCACUACCAUC